rnacentral:rRNA from 1 species
UACAGGGGGUGCAAACGUUGCUCGGAAUCAUUUGGGCGUAAAGCGCACGUAGGCGGUUUGUUAUGUCGGAUGUGAAAGCCCUUGGCUCAACUGAGGAAGUGCAUCCGAAACUGGCAAGCUAGAGUACUAAAGAGGAUCGCGGAAUUCCCGGUGUAGAGGUGAAAUUCGUAGAUAUCGGGAGGAACACCGGUGGCGAAGGCGGCGAUCUGGGUAGAUACUGACGCUGAGGUGCGAAAGCGUGGGGAGCAAACAGG